rnacentral:lncRNA from 1 species
AGGAAGAAGCCCAGGACAGGACACUGAAACACUGCAAAGUUUAGAGUUCUAGUAGAAAAGGAAGAGCAAACAAAGGAGACGCCUUGGGAAAACUGGAGAAUAUGAUACCUCACAAAUGAAGUAAAAAAUUUUAGGAAGAGGUAGGUGAAUUGGGUUCAAUGUUUCUGAAAGAUCAAGUAAGAACAGAAAUGACCACUGGAUUUGGCAACAUGAAGAUCACUGGUGAUCUUGUAAACACAGUCUCAGUGGAAUCAUGAUGAUGGAAGUCUACUUGAAGAGAUUGAGGUAAGAAGGCAGAAAUAGGUCACUAGGUAGAGAGGGA